AUUGAACGCUGGCGGCAGGCUUAACACAUGCAAGUCGAGCGGAGAUGAGGUGCUUGCACCUUAUCUUAGCGGCGGACGGGUGAGUAAUGCUUAGGAAUCUGCCUAUUAGUGGGGGACAACAUUCCGAAAGGAAUGCUAAUACCGCAUACGCCCUACGGGGGAAAGCAGGGGAUCUUCGGACCUUGCGCUAAUAGAUGAGCCUAAGUCGGAUUAGCUAGUUGGUGGGGUAAAGGCCUACCAAGGCGACGAUCUGUAGCGGGUCUGAGAGGAUGAGCCGCCACACUGGGACUGAGACACGGCCCAGACUCCUACGGGAGGCAGCAGUGGGGAAUAUUGGACAAUGGGCGGAAGCCUGAUCCAGCCAUGCCGCGUGUGAAGAAGGCCUUUUGGUUGUAAAGCACUUUAAGCGAGGAGGAGGCUACCUGGAUUAAUACUCUAGGAUAGUGGACGUUACUCGCAGAAUAAGCACCGGCUAACUCUGUGCCAGCAGCCGCAGUAAAAC
rnacentral:rRNA from 1 species